rnacentral:rRNA from 1 species
GAUGAACGCUAGCGGCAGGCCUAAUACAUGCAAGUCGGACGGGAUUGGGGGCUUCGGCCCCAUGAGAGUGGCGCACGGGUGCGUAACACGUAUGUAACCUACCUUUAUCUGGGGGAUAGCCUCUCGAAAGAGAGAUUAACACCGCAUAAAAUCACAGCACGGCAUUGUGCAAUGAUCAAAUAUUUAUAGGAUAAAGAUGGGCAUGCGGAACAUUAGCUAGUUGGC